UGACAUCCUCUUGCUCUUCCACUAUAUUCUAUCAACUAUGCAUUUAUUCUCUACAGUUUUAGCGAGCUGCACUUUCAAUUUCUCUGUCAAAUACUAGUGGUCCUGAAGGGUGUCUUUUAGUCAUAAACUAAAGGAACCUCUCAGAAGCAAAUAAAAAAGAAAUUUGAAAACAAAAAAAUAAAAUACAAUAAAAAUAAAAAUGGCUAAAUUAAUAAAAAUCGAGUCUUCCUAAUAUUUUAGUCCCCGGCAAUGGCGCCAAAACCUUUAUGGUCAAUAAACUAACUAAAAUUAUGACAACGGAAAGCCCACCUAUCGACCAAUUGUAUAACUAUAGUGAGAAGGGAAUAUCG
rnacentral:lncRNA from 1 species